rnacentral:lncRNA from 1 species
CACCACCGAAGACGAUAAGAUGAGGACAGUCGUCAGGAGUCGUGCUUCUCUCCUCCUCACACUCGUCAUCAUCGUCUUCCUCGUCACAGGUCAGCUACAGCAUGCCGUGAGUUAAAAGUUUGUUUACGCCUCUGAGAACUAUCUACUCUCGAUCUGCAUCGAGCUCUAAUGAUCCUAUGCAUGUCUUUUGUGCAUUGUUUGAACUGGUGUAGCGAGAGGGGAGACGACCCCUGUGAAGGAAGCGAAAGCGGACAUUACAUACCGUGUCCCUAACGGUCAGCCCGCGCGCCCCAGAACACCCUAUACGAGGGGAUGCGGGAGCCAUUACUAUUGCCGUCCGCCUUCGACCCCUCCGCCUCCGCCUCCGCCUUCGACCCCAUGAUAGGCUACUUCGGCAGCAUGGAGGAGUUGUUCCUUUGACGACGCAAAAUAUAUACAGGAGGCAGAUACGUACAAUAUAUAUAUAUAUAUAUAUAUAUAUAUAUAUAUAUAUAUAUAUAUAUAUAUAUAUAUAUACGCAC